rnacentral:rRNA from 1 species
AUGUCUACAUCAGGGGGUUCGGAGAGUGCUGAUUCCAUGGAUGAGGAUACGAGUCAAGUACCACAUGCUAGAAGGUCCAAGGUAUGGGAGCAUUAUGAAGUAGAUCUGGUUGUCGUAGAUGGUGAUCUCAAGGCUGUGUGCAAAUACUGUGGAGGGCAACUUCACACCAAGUUUGGGACUAGCAGUUUGAGGACCCAUAUUGCAGAGGCUUGCCGAUCAAUUCAGGAUGCUUGCAGGAAGAGGUUUUUGUUGAACAUGAAAAAAAACAUCCGAAGGUCUGUUUGUGUUUGA